rnacentral:lncRNA from 12 species
AUGACCACGCAGCUGCACUUAACCACUAAGCCAUAUAGCCUUCCUGUAAGAUUGAGUCCCCAUCAAAGGCCAGUCAGGACUGAUCCCACUAAGUUUCAGAGAUCAGAUCAAAUGAGGCACUCUAGGGAGCUUAAGAAGCCACAGUUCCUCUGGGUCAGCUUAAAGGGCAUCCUAGUUUUCCAUGGCACCGGAACGAGAAAGAGAAACGUUGACAUUCACACAGUCACCCUUCUGACCUCACUUCAGAGCUGUGGCACCUCCCGGCCAAGACUUCCAGCUUUGUUCCUCCCAUUUUCCACUUCAUGUUGA